UGUCGGUCUGCCGCUCAUCUGUACAGAUGAGAGGAAAGUCCGGGCAACACAGGGCACCAUACUUCUUAACGGGAAGCAGGCCGCAAGGUUUGAGUAGCAUAACAGAAAACAACCGCCGGUGUCUUAUGGCACAGGUAAGGGUGAAAAGGCGAGGUAAGAGCUCACCGGUUCUUUGGCAACAAAGGAUGCCGUAUGCCUUAUGGGUUGAAAGAUCAUGUAUAUCGGCGCAUGUAGGGCGGCUCGUCCGAUGUCGAGGGGUAGAUCGAUAGAGCUUGUUGGUGACAACAAGACAAGAUAAAUGGCAGGCACUCGUUGCUUUUGGCAACGAGCACAGAACCCGGCUUAUAGACAGACUGU
rnacentral:RNase_P_RNA from 1 species